AAAGUCUGACGGAGCAACGCCGCGUGAACGAAGAAGGUCUUCGGAUUGUAAAGUUCUGUGAUUCGGGACGAAAGGGUUUGUGGUGAAUAAUCAUAGACAUUGACGGUACCGAAAAAGCAAGCCACGGCUAACUACGUGCCAGCAGCCGCGGUAAUACGUAGGUGGCAAGCGUUGUCCGGAAUUAUUGGGCGUAAAGCGCGCGCAGGCGGUUUCUUAAGUCCAUCUUAAAAGCGUGGGGCUCAACCCCAUGAGGGGAUGGAAACUGGGAAGCUGGAGUAUCGGAGAGGAAAGUGGAAUUCCUAGUGUAGCGGUGAAAUGCGUAGAGAUUAGGAAGAACACCGGUGGCGAAGGCGACUUUCUAGACGAAAACUGACGCUGAGGCGCGAAAGCGUGGGGAGCAAACAGGAUUAGAUACCCUGGUAGUCCACGCCGUAAACGAUGGAUACUAGGUGUAGGAGGUAUCGACCCCUCCUGUGCCGGAGUUAACGCAAUAAGUAUCCCGCCUGGGGAAGUACGAUCGCAAGAUUAAACUCAAAGGAAUUGACGGGGGCCCGCACAAGCGGUGGAGUAUGUGGUUUAAUUCGACGCAACGCGAGAACCUACCAGCCUGAC
rnacentral:rRNA from 1 species